rnacentral:rRNA from 1 species
AUUGAACGCUGGCGGCAGGCUUAACACAUGCAAGUCGAGCGAGAGGCGGACGGGUGAGCAAUGUCUGGGAAACUGCCUGAUGGAGGGGGAUAACUACUGGAAACGGUAGCUAAUACCGCAUACACUCAGCUGUGCCCAGCUGGGAUUUGCCAGUAGGUGGGGUAAUGGCUCACCUAGGCGAAGAUCCCUUGCUGGUCGGAGCGGAUGAGCAGCCACACUGGAACUGAGACACGGUCCAGAGGCCUACGGGAGGCAGCAGUGGGGAAUAUUGCACAAUGGGCGCGAGCCUGAUACAGCCAGGCCGCGGGUGUGAAGAAGGCCUUAGGGUUGUAAAGCACUUACAGCGAGGAGGCGUUACUCGCAGAAGAAGCACCGGCUAACUCCGUGCCAGCAGCCGCGGUAAUAC